CCGGCGCACGGGUGAGUAACGCGUAUGCAACCUGCCUGAUACCGGGGUAUAGCCCAUGGAAACGUGGAUUAACACCCCAUAGUACUUUUAUCCUGCAUGGGAUGUGAGUUAAAUGUUCAAGGUAUCGGAUGGGCAUGCGUCCUAUUAGUUAGUUGGCGGGGUAACAGCCCACCAAGACGAUGACAGGUAGGGGUUCUGAGAGGAAGGUCCCCCACAUUGGAACUGAGACACGGUCCAG
rnacentral:rRNA from 1 species